GGAGGGGUACUCAAGCCUGGCUAAAGAGGCCAAUCAUUUAUGAUUGGUAGGAGCUUUUUUGCUCGCGUUGGUUCAAAUCCUUCCCUCUCCGCUA
rnacentral:tRNA from 1 species